AACGAACGCUGGCGGCAGGCUUAACACAUGCAAGUCGAACGGGUGUAGCAAUACAUCAGUGGCAGACGGGUGAGUAACACGUGGGAACCUUCCUAGGGGUACGGAACAACUCAGGGAAACUUGAGCUAAUACCGUAUACGUCCGUGAGGAGAAAGAUUUAUCGCCCUUAGACGGGCCCGCGUCGGAUUAGGUAGUUGGUGGGGUAACGGCCUACCAAGCCUACGAUCCGUAGCUGAUCUUAGAGGAUGAUCAGCCACACUGGGACUGAGACACGGCCCAGACUCCUACGGGAGGCAGCAGUGGGGAAUCUUGGACAAUGGGCGCAAGCCUGAUCCAGCCAUGCCGCGUGAGUGAAGAAGGCCUUAGGGUUGUAAAGCUCUUUUGUGCGGGAAGAUAAUGACGGUACCGCAAGAAUAAGCCCCGGCUAACUUCGUGCCAGCCGCCGCAGUAAAAC
rnacentral:rRNA from 1 species